UACGAAGGGGGCUAGCGUUGCUCGGAAUCACUGGGCGUAAAGCGCACGUAGGCGGAUCGUUAAGUCAGGGGUGAAAUCCUGGAGCUCAACUCCAGAACUGCCUUUGAUACUGGCGAUCUUGAGUUCGGGAGAGGUGAGUGGAACUGCGAGUGUAGAGGUGAAAUUCGUAGAUAUUCGCAAGAACACCAGUGGCGAAGGCGGCUCACUGGCCCGAUACUGACGCUGAGGCACGAAGGUCAGGGGAGCAAACGGG
rnacentral:rRNA from 1 species